UAUUUAAAGAUAGGUCUGGAGUCAGAUUGGCUCCUGAGUAUCUGAGCUCCAUUAACGCAGAAUUCUUGCUAACACCACUAGAUCUUACCUCUGGGACUAGAGUUUGAAAGCCAUCACUGCCACAACA
ensembl:snoRNA SNORA62 Small nucleolar RNA SNORA62/SNORA6 family